rnacentral:tRNA from 2 species
CGGGGAGUGGCGCAGCCAGGUAGCGCAUCUGCUUUGGGAGCAGAGGGUCGGAGGUUCGAAUCCUCUCUCCCCGACCA